rnacentral:lncRNA from 1 species
ACAGAUCGCAAGCUAAAUCAUCCAUCUUAGGAGGUACAGACUACAGGGGGCCGUGGCUUCCUCUUAACCGCGGCAGCUGCUGAUAAAUACUGUACUAUUAACAGUGAGGCCCGGCGUAAUUUCCUUAUUAGAGGGCUUCUUUACGUCUCUUCAUCCCAAACUGGGAAAAGAUGGAGUCUCACUCUGUCGCCCAGGCUGGAGUACAGUGGCGCAAUCUCGGCUCACUACAAACUCCGUCUCCCGGGUUCAAGCCAUUCUCCUGCCUCAGCCUCCCAAGCAGCUGGGACUACAGACGCCCCCCACCAUGCCCGGCUAUUUUUUUUUUAUUUUUUGUAGAGACGGGGU